GAGGAAAACCAGUACUACGUUC
rnacentral:siRNA from 1 species